CAGUGGAUGUUUCUAAUGUCUCUGUGGAGAACACAGACAUUAAAGGAUAAAGGGACUAUCUUGCAUGUAUUUUGUCAUAAUGCAAGUGAAUCCAUGUAGCUACAGGACAAGGACAUUGUAAGUUCAAUGCCAAAAGGCAGAAAUUGAAGCACCCAGAAAAUUUUACUGACUGAAAGAGCAUGUCUCAGAAGAUGGGCAACAGCUGAAACAGAGGGAAGGAGGAAAGUGUGGCUGAGAAUA